GAUGAACGCUGGCGGCGUGCCUAAUACAUGCAAGUCGAGCGAACAGACGAGGAGCUUGCUCCUCUGACGUUAGCGGCGGACGGGUGAGUAACACGUGGAUAACCUACCUAUAAGACUGGGAUAACUUCGGGAAACCGGAGCUAAUACCGGAUAAUAUAUUGAACCGCAUGGUUCAAUAGUGAAAGACGGUUUUGCUGUCACUUAUAGAUGGAUCCGCGCCGCAUUAGCUAGUUGGUAAGGUAACGGCUUACCAAGGCAACGAUGCGUAGCCGACCUGAGAGGGUGAUCGGCCACACUGGAACUGAGACACGGUCCAGACUCCUACGGGAGGCAGCAGUAGGGAAUCUUCCGCAAUGGGCGAAAGCCUGACGGAGCAACGUCGCGUGAGUGAUGAAGGUCUUCGGAUCGUAAAACUCUGUUAGUAGGGAAGAACAAAUGUGUAAGUAACUAUGCACGUCUUGACGGUACCUAAUCAGAAAGCCACGGCUAACUACGUG
rnacentral:rRNA from 1 species